CGAGAAAUGUUUAUGCUGCAAAAACACAUUUUCCAGAAAAGGCCAGUAAAUAUGGUGUUUAUUAUUUUUUUUUUGCUCGCAGACAGUACACAGCUUGUACUCGUAAGGGGAGCAGUGUUUUCAGAGGACUGCUUCAAGUACUGGAAUGUAAGUACAGGAAAGUGUCUCACAGGAGUUACUACUAUGGGGUAAAAGCUGUCAUUCACUUCACGGGGAUCCGUGUCUGUUAUCCGUGAGCUGCACCGCCACGGGUUUCUCCGAAAUACUGGGACUGACCCAGAACGAUGAAGGUGACGAACUGGCCCAGAGUGUCCACGUCUUCGCCCAGGAAGCGCUUGUCCGUCAGCGUCUUCAGAAGGAUGUUUUCUUUUAUUUUCUGUUCUUCCGUGUCUAUUAGCGUCUUCAGAAAGAUGUUUUCUUUUAUUUUCUGUUCUUCCGUGUCUAUUACUGUGUUUUGAGCCGAUUUUAAAUUUUCCCUGAUGAGAUUCUCAAACUUGUAUUCAUUGAAACCCCAAUAUUUGUCAAAUCCCACAUAACAUUUAUUGUUUUUUUUUUUUAAGAACCACUCCUUGCACUUUGCCACAAUGACGUCAAAGCAGGACGCCCCGUUCUCCGAAGACGGAAGAAGACACGGAGAGUUUGUCGUGAACCAGUACACAUCCUCACCUUCUUUAAUUGGCACGUCUCGUCGGGACACGUGCAGUUCGCUGUGUGUUACUGACUCCCUUCCUCUUCACCAUCUACGCCUCCGACUUCCUGUACACGUGGCGAAAAGGAGGAGCGGGAGGCCAGGAGAACUGGUGGAUCCCAGUUUAUCAAGACCUUCUUUAAGAAGACAGGUUAGUGCACUGUAGGGAUGUCAGUAUGAUGGGACGCCGUGAACAGAUAAUUUCUCCGCCCGAUUUCAUCCUUUCGCAGGAACAGGACACCUAAUAAGAGCUGUGUGUGUGUGUUUAAUAAUAUAUUGUGCAGUAGCAUAUUAUCUUCAUCAAAAAUGAAGACAAU
rnacentral:lncRNA from 1 species